GACGUAGGGCGCGAGCGUUAUCCGGAUUCACUGGGUUUAAAGGGUGCGUAGGCGGGUUGGUAAGUCCGUGGUGAAAUCUCCGAGCUUAACUCGGAAACUGCCGUGGAUACUAUCAAUCUUGAAUAUCGUGGAGGUAAGCGGAAUAUGUCAUGUAGCGGUGAAAUGCUUAGAUAUGAACAUAGAACACCAAUUGCGUAGGCAGCUUACUACACGAUGAUUGACGCUGAGGCACGAAAGCGUGGGGAGCAAACAGGA
rnacentral:rRNA from 1 species